rnacentral:rRNA from 1 species
CAGUCGCCGCGGGAAUACGUAGGGUGCGAGCGUUAAUCGGAAUUACUGGGCGUAAAGCGUGCGCAGGCGGUUCGUUAAGUCGGAUGUGAAAUCCCUGAGCUUAACUUAGGAAUUGCAUUCGAUACUGGGAAGCUAGAGUAUGGGAGAGGAUGGUAGAAUUCCAGGUGUAGCGGUGAAAUGCGUAGAGAUCUGGAGGAAUACCGAUGGCGAAGGCAGCCAUCUGGCCUAAUACUGACGCUGAGGUACGAAAGCAUGGGGAGCAAACAGGAUUAGAUACCCCAGUAGUCCCUGUCUCUUAUAC